rnacentral:lncRNA from 1 species
UGGGGUUUACUGAAGAUAUCUGAAAAUUAAGCCAAAAUAGAAGCAAUAUCAGAUGGAUAGGAAGAUACUGACCCGUUGGAGGUGGUUAUUACUUCUAGGAGAUAAAAUUCAGCAAUGGCCUGUGUUGACUACAAUCGAUGAAGAGCAUUGUAUUGGAUGAGCUGAGCCACAGGAAAUCGGUUGCCUUGCCAACAAACUUUAUGACCAUUAUACGUAAAUUGGAAAAUCGAAAAUGCAUAAUCGGUAACCACUGGUCCCAAUGUGGCUAACCACUCAAUGCCUAACACCAUAUCCCAACCAUGUAAUGGUAAAACAUGAAAAUCCACAGAAAUUUCUUGGCCUUGGAUGACUAGUGGUACCUUGCGACUGAUGUCCGAACAAUUUAAACGGUAUCCAUUUCCAACUAAUAUGAAAAAUUGAGUAGUCGUUUCGAUUGGAAGUCGUAGAUAAGAUGCCACUCUGGUUUGCACAAAAUUAUGGGUGCUACCCUCAUCUAAAAGAAUCUGAAUAGUUUUACCAUGUACUUGACCUGUGAAUCGCAACGUUGAUGUAGAACAACUGUCUGCCAGAGCAUUAUAGGAAAUUGUCGAUUCAGUCAUUAACUCCUUUAGUUGCAGGUUUUCGGCCAUCGUAGAGUCCAGGGCAGAUUCAAGAACUGGAGAACUUUGUCGGUUGUCCUCGAACAACAACAAUUGCGGUUCCGAUUUGCACUUGUGAUCCCAAGUGUAUUUCUAGUCACAAUGGUAACAAAUGUCUUGUGCCGGCGUUGAGCUGCUUCCGAAGAUGAAAGCCGAUGAAAGGGAACCUUAGCAUCACUCGACGGUGUGGCGAAGUUUUGGGUUGAUGAGGGCGGUGAUGGAGACACUUGCGCCAGAGGUUGUAGUUUC